rnacentral:rRNA from 1 species
AGAGUUUGAUCCUGGCUCAAGAUGAACGCUGGCGGCGUGCCUAACACAUGCAAGUCAAAAGAAGCACUUGGAUUUCUUCGGAAGGAAAGGUGACUGAGUGGCGGACGGGUGAGUAACGCGUGGGUAACCUGCCUCAUACAGGGGGAUAACAGUUAGAAAUGACUGCUAAUACCGCAUAAGCGCACGGUACUGCAUGGUACAGUGUGAAAAACUCCGGCGGUACGACAUGGGCCCGCGUUGGAUUAGGUAGUUGGUGAGGUAACGGCCCACCAAGCCGACGAUCCAUAGCCGACCUGAGAGGGUGACCGGCCACAUUGGGACUGAGACACGGCCCAAACUCCUACGGGAGGCAGCAGUGGGGAAUAUUGCACAAUGGGCGCAAGCCUGAUGCAGCGACGCCGCGUGAGCGAAGAAGUAUUUCGGUAUGUAAAGCUCUAUCAGCAGGGAAGAAAAUGACGGUACCUGACUAAGAAGCUCCGGCUAAAUACGUGCCAGCAGCCGCGGUAAUACGUAUGGAGCAAGCGUUAUCCGGAUUUACUGGGUGUAAAGGGAGCGUAGACGGACUGGCAAGUCUGAUGUGAAAGGCAGGGGCUCAACUCCUGAACUGCAUUGGAAACUGUCAGCCUUGAGUGCCGGAGAGGUAAGCGGAAUUCCUAGUGUAGCGGUGAAAUGCGUAGAUAUUAGGAGGAACACCAGUGGCGAAGGCGGCUUACUGGACGGUAACUGACGUUGAGGCUCGAAAGCGUGGGGAGCAAACAGGAUAAGAUCCUCUGGUAGUCCCCGCGGUAANCGAUGAUCCUCUAGGGGUGGGUGACAAAGUCAUUCGGUGCCGCAGCAAACGCAAUAAGUAUCCACCUGGAGA